GUAGGUUUUCCCAUUUGAAUGGUUUUCACUAGUCAUUUUUGAGGUCCUUUAUAGCUUGCUGUUUGGUGUGAGCCAAGGCAAUGUAUUGAAGAUGACUGUACUUUGACCUAUAAUGGUUUACUUUUUCAAAUUGUGACUUGGAUGGAGAAUUGUCUCAUUGGCACUGACUCAUGCCACAUUUUCUUAUAUCUAUUGGUCAGGACAAUCAAAGAAAAGAGUUAAACACAAUAUUAUUUAUUUACUUUAAAUGUUUAAUUUUUGUGCAUGUAUUUCUACAACAUAGUGAAGUAACAAGUUAAAAGAGAGAUAUAAAAAAUAUCACAAGGUAAACAGACAACAGAUAAAGAGAUAUUAACCAUCUAUCCUAAUGUUUUAACUGAUUUUAAGUUUAACAGACAAAACAGACAACAAUAUGUAUUAGUACCUACUUUUUAUCAAGGCAUUUUUAAGAUAUAAAGAUAUACAUGUAUAAAACAAAUAUCAAUUUGCCGUAUAAUAGUUUGAUUAAAUUCUAAAAUAAAAGAAUGAAUAGGAUUGCGUGAAAACGAAGUAAAAUAUUCAAAGUUAUAUAUAGGAAAGAUCCUUACAAAAUAUUCCCAAUGAACAUUUCAGAUAACUUUUAAGGCUGUACCAUUAAAACAUACAUGGAUGAUACUUUGAAAAUGGGUUAACCAUCUGAAGAGGCAAUUUUAACCCUCUUGAAAUUUCAGAGGGACUUCCCUUGGUCUGAAGAAUAUUUUAAUGGAACAGCCCUUAAGUCCGUUCAGCAUUGAUUUUCUGCAUUAAAAAUUUCAAGAGAAUGUGUUAUUUAUGGUUAAUGACUAUAUAAACAUUCUAAUUCAUAAGUAAAUCUAUUUUUCUCAAUUUGUACAUGAAUUUCAAAUUUGAAUUUUCAAUAAUACUGAUUUUCAUUUACAGUCACAUUUAAGUACAGACCAAAUAAAGCUACAUUUUAAGUAAAAAUGUUUAGAUCAUUGAUUGUAUACAUGGAUAGAACACAGUUUUACAAUACAUUCAAAACAUAUUCUUCACAAAUUGAGGAAGCAACCAAUUUGUUUAUAUCCUAUGUUAAAUAUGAAAUUAUGUUUUCAUAAUUCAUGCUUGGAUGUGAGAUUCUAAAAGACAUACACUCACACACCCUCAAAUAAGGAGAGUAUAAAACAUGUAUUGCUGAUUAUACCCUGUGUAAUUGUGUAGAUCAAUGUAUUGCACCUUUACGACCAUAAGUUCUUGAAUAAAGUUCUGAGUAUGAUUUUUAAAAUAAAUAUGAAUGUUUUAGUACACGUAUAACUAGCACUGUGAAUAAACUUAGGUGAAAAGUAACUUUUUGUUCCCAAUUUAUGUGAAUAUCAAAUUGUGUUACAUGAGUAUUGCCAAACAAAUCUAUGGAAUCUAUAAUUCAAACAUUUAAAAUAAACAAAAUCGUUCAAAUAAUUCCCCAAAUAAUAUUCAGGCCAGAAUGACCCUGUAAAAAGAUCUUUUUUCCUUUUAAACUGGCCAAAUUAAAUUUCCUUAUGAAGUAAAAAAAAAAAAAACAUACAAUGAUGCCUCUUUUUGUGGAAUAUCAUUUAUGCAACAAAUAAAUUUUGUAUACCCUUUAAUAUCUUAUCUAUAUGGAAUGCUACAGAUUUAAUACAAACAGCAACAACAAAUAUACAAUUUUGUCAGAGAAAAAAUGACAUCUGGCUUUGUAUUAUCAAUUUAUGCAAGACUAUUUCAUUUAUUUCAUGCAUUCACUGUCUUAUCAUUUUCACAACCCUAAAAAUACUUAAGAAUAACAAGACAACUGGAAUGUUGAAAAAGAUUAUACAAUAUACACAGCUUACAUAUGAUUUAUACCUAAUAGUGUAAUUAACAUGUUUUAAUUAAAUUUUCUUACAAACUGACAUUAAAAGUCAUUGUUAUAGGCAAACAUUGAAACCACAAGAACUCAGAGAUAAAUCUAAAUAUAAUAGAAACAAGCUGUUUCACAUGAAAUGGCAGCUAUGGUACCAACCAUAUCUAAAAUAGUUUUCAACGAAAUGAAAAUUAAAUUUCUCCCUUGCAAGAAAACUAAUUAAUACAUAAACGAUUAUAACAGCACUAUAACACAUACAUCUAACAUUAGUUAUUGUCAACUAUUACUUAACAAACAAAAUAUAACAAUAAAGAGAAACAUAUAUAAACAGUCUAAAAAAAACUUGAACACUUAUCUAAAGGAACUUUGGUUUUUGUCUUUGUGGGUUCACAUCUACUCGAAAGAAAGACACUGAUCAUAUUUUUUUAUUUGAUUUUGUGCGAAAACUAAGUAGUUUUAUAUAUCACAAGUGUAAAAUCACAUCCCUUUUAAAUCAAAGUCAUAUAAAAUCUAUCCUAGUAGUUCAUUUAAAGCUUUAAUAACAUACAUAUGAUGACAAUACAUAAUUUACAAGAGUCAUCAUAGUUUACCUCAAUCAUCUCCCAAAAAUAAAUUGCCAUAGCAGAAAGAAAUCAUUUUUUUUUUAAAUCAAGAUUAAGCUUCAAUAAGCAAAAAAAAUAAUUUAAGGAAAUGAAUUGAAAAAUGUAGGUCAGAAUGACUUACUUGAAGGAGAUUUCUGUCCUUUGGGUCAUAUCUAUAAUAUGUUGUAUGAUUACAAUGAAACCUGUGUAUAAAGGUCAGCUGGUGAGAAAGUAAAACUGAUCUUAUGCAAGAGUUGACCAUUGAAUCAAUUUUGAAAAUGCGUAGGUUUUACAACACUAGCAUAGGAAGAGAGUGACAUGCCAAGACAUACCUUUUUGAUAAAAGUAACCAUUUUAUCAGAUUCGACUGUAUAUAGUUUUUAGAAUCUUUGAACUGCAUUUGGUAAGAUUUUACAAGAUACAUUACACACCAAAUUAUCAAUAAAUUUAAAAUCUAGCUGUUGAUGAAAACAAGCCUUUCGACAAUGCCCCUACCCUUAAACUUCAAAUUAUUUUUUUCAAAUAGGUUAUCUCCCCUUAUUCUAUAUAAUUGAAUGUAAAAAGAAUGUGCAAAGAAAAAAUAUUCAUACUGCGUUAUAUCUGUAUAAUAAAAUCAUAUAUAUAAAACUGAACACUUAAGGUAUGAAAUCAACAAAAAA
rnacentral:lncRNA from 1 species